rnacentral:lncRNA from 1 species
GUCAUGAUUCAGCUGACUACAAGUUAAGUUUGUACCAACAGAGUACUAUAGAGCUGAGUCUUUGACUUUAUGGAUAGAAACACAAUGUCUGGCCCUUGGGAAGUAACUCUUUCUCCUGUCUGACAACCUUCUCAAUUGUGCCUUUUCCUACCCUCUCUUCCACCAGUUUUUCAAAAGACAAAUCUACUAAUCUCUGAUGGUCUAAGAUCCAGCACAUUUACCCUUGGAUUGGGUGUCAGAAAGAGUGGAAAUUUUCCCCCUAAUUAUUUUUUAUAUAUUGAACCUCUGUAUUAGCUUUUCAAAAUGCAUUCUAAUUAUAUGCUAGCUCUUGUCUUCCCUCAUUGGAGAGAGAACAGAGAACCCCAUGAAGAAAUAUUUUCCAGCCCUUCUUGUGUUCCCAGUCCAUAGUAUAGUGCCUGGCACAGACCAGGCAUUUAAUACGGUUGAGGGAAUGAAUGAAUGGAUGAAUUAAUGAAUGAGGAGAGUUAGACAGAGCAUUAAUGUGAAAGAGCUGAAGGGACACAUGUAGAUAUGCAUUCUGCACAGGUGUAUGGAGAGCAGGUGUAACAGGUCUUAAAAAGAAAACAUACAACCCUGUUACUGUCUUCUCUGAGAAGUAAAUGGUCCAUUAGCAGCACUUUAUUCUUUCUACAUCCCCAAAUCAUAUGUGCACAGCCAGCAAAAAUUUCCCUACUGCGCUCCCUUGAAGCCUCGGGUGCCUUUCCCCGGAGCCUCCCUCCCCUGUGAUCUGUGAGGGAUUUGUGUCCCUCCCUGGGUAUUGUUCCUGGGAGGAGUCACUGGAGCGAUGCCUCUGGAGUCCAAUCUUCUGGUGUAAUCACAGCUGGGCAUCAGAUUUCAGAGCCCCAGGAUGGAUAAACACGUGGUCUCUCUCUCUUCAGGUUAGAAAGCUGUGAAUGCCCUGUCUGGCAGCCAGAAUAGGGGACUGUAAACUCAGAACUCAUGAAGAAAGCUCUGGUUAAGAGAUGAGCCCUGGGUGCUAUGCUAAGAGUCAGUGGUGUUGGGCUCUGAAAACCCUUCUUUCCACAGCUUUGUGUGGAGGACCAAAGAGGCCUGGGAUUGUGAUCUGUUCUCCAGUGAGGGGCAGCCAUUUCUAGUUUCCACCAUCCUGCUUUAUAAAGAAUGCUUUAUUACCAGUCAGUCUAAUUGUCCUAUGUUUACCUGAUAACACCAAAUGAAAGCGUGGAAGUUAAGUACAUUUUAUGUAAUAUUUUAAAAGCCAUGCAAGCAGAAUCAUAGCCAAACAAGGGUUAUGCUCCCAGUGGACAUGCAGUAAAUUCCUAUUGGUACCAAGGACUAGCAUGAAAUCCUUUAAUGUUUAAAAUGAAACUUACCCUUUGCUUUAUUGAGUGUUUUGACUGUAGAGUGUUCCUUGCGUUUUUUUACACAUCAAGGGCAUUAGGGCAGGAAUAAGAGUGAGGCAGUUCUGUGCUCUUAGAAUAAGCCAAGCCAAUAGCUAUGAUUACACCAGGAAGAAGUGUUUACUGUCUCCUCUGAUUGGGGCUAGAAAUGCCUAGAACUACAUUCUGAGAGGUUGAACGGGAAUAAUCACAAAAUAUAUUCCCUACCCUUUGAAACCGGAGAAGUCAACUAGAGAAUUUGUUUUUAUUACUUUCUUUUUACUUGGCCUCAAUUUCAUUAUUUUUUACAGCCUGUUUUUGCUCAUCAGAGUAAAAACAACUGGUCUCAGUUACUAUUGUUGUUAGUAGAAGUUGUAGUCAUAAUUUCCUUUGUUGGAUAGUUAUUCUGAGGAGGCAAUGUGCUGUGAACCACACGUAAUAAUCAUCUCACAAAAAUCUGAUACUCAGAGUCUGGCUUAUUCUUGGUCAGAGUUCCAUCAUCACAGCAGCUCAGUUCGAGUCAAUAAAUCUCUUCUAUCAGCAUGGCCAAUAGUAGCAUAGCAACAGGAAUUCCAAAUAAUAGGUUAUACUCACAGUUAAGUAGGGGUGACAUAUUGGUUCUGAGUCAUCUGUAUUUUCUUUAAAGGGACUAUGUCAAACAACUGUCUGCUGGUACUCAGCCCCAGGGCAACUUUUCUUUACUCCUUUUUGCACUGGUGGGGCUAGAAGCCUGAAAACUAUACUUCUUAGGUAUCCUUGCCAAUUGGGUGUCAACAGGCCCAGUUUGCCUGGGACUGAAGGUUUCCAGGGACAUGGGACUUCCACUGCUAAAACCCGAAAAGUUCUUGGUGAAAAGGAAUGAGUUGGUCACUUUAAUUGACAACUAAGCUUCUGUUACAUUAGUAGUAAGCACUCAACAUGGGAUUAGAAGACCUGAGGAAGGGAGAUGUCACUUCUGCUACUGGUAGCAGCAGUGAUGCGUGUGUGGACUCAGUAGUGGCAGGAGGGUGAACUCUUAAAGGGUGGUUGGGAAUGCCAACUCCUGCAAUCCGAAGUGAAAGCAGAGGCUCCCUGUACUUACAGAUGUCUGGGUAACAUGAACUUUCCUCUUCCGUUUCUUAGCCCUUCUAAUAUUGUGAAAUGAUCCCCUAUAUUAAUCUCUCUCUUCCCAAAAUACUCAUAGAUGUUUCUAUAUCUCUGAUUUAAUGUUGACUGAUAGAUAGUUCCAAUGAAAGACUGCUCCUGAAUAAUGGGAGAGACAAGAGUUAGAAGGGAAGUGAAGUGCUAAUCAGAGAAACUGUAGAAAGCUCAAUCAAACAGAUUUUUCCUAGAUGGCAGAAGUCAGGAAAUAGGAAUGAUGUAACUCUGAGAAUGCCUGGAGAACCAGGUUACCAGCACUGUAGUAGCAAUAUAUUCUAAGUUCUCUAGGUCUCUGUGAAAUAGGCUUUGGAUAUCCUUCCAAGAAUGACCCAGGAAUUAGAAGGGUCCUAAACCAAGAGGAAAAAAGGAAGAUGAGAUUCAUUCUACAUCUCUGCUUCUUCCUCAGUUUAGAUAUCACUUCCUUUGAUGGGGUACAUGGCCUUCUGAAUUGCUCCCUGGAAAUAGCCUUAGCAUGGUACUUCAUCAUAUGCAGUAACAUUUUAACUACGUGCCUGUCUCCAGCAUUGGAUUGUCAGCUCCUUAAGAUUGUGAUGUUACAUCUUCAUGGCUGAAGAGUGCUUGACAUGUGACUAGCCCUGAGCUAACAUCUACCAAUCCUCCUCUUUUUGCUGAAGAAGACUGGCCCUGAGCUAACAUCCGUGCCCAUCUUCCUCUAUUUUAUAUGUGGGAUGCCUACCACAGCAUGGCUUGCCCUGUGGUACCAUGUCUGCACCCAGGAUUUGAACCAGUGAACCCCGGGCUGCCAAAGUGGAAUGUGCGCACUUAACCGCUGUGCCGCCAGACUAACCAAAACCAGUUACAGAGACAAGAAAUAUCAUUGGGGAGAGGAGAACAAGAAUCUGUUUAUUCAACAACAUUUUGUGCUGGCUUUGUUUUUGAUGCUGGGGAUUCAGUGGUGAUAAAAUAAAACUAUGCCUCCAAUGGAACUUACGGUAUUGUGGAAUUCAAGAAAUAAAAAUGUUAUUUUCUGUUUC